GGGACGCACUGGGUCGGAGGACCACAUGGCAGGGAGCCAUAGGCUUACCUGUUGUGUUCCAGCUGAUCUGAGCUGCUCCAGCUGGAGGUCCAGGCUUUGCCCGCGUCCCCACCCCAAAUCACCACCUGUCUGCCUUGCGGAAUAACUGUCCUUUGUGUUUGUGCGCAGGGUCGGAAUUAAACCCCAGAGUCCAGAUUUUUCUCAUUUCUUCCUCUUUCCAGCUCAGUGGAAGUAGACCCCGGAUUGUCAUCCCAUUUCACAGGUUUCCUGCCAAGCUGCGUCCUGGUGAGGCUGUGACCAUGAGUUCAUGACGUUCUCCUGCCCUGCAGAAUGCAAGUUUGGAGAUCUGGGAUCAGGCUAAUUUUUUGACAGAUUCUGACAUGUCAAAGCCCAAUGACUGUUUUCCAGGCCUACCCAACUUGUCAUCCAUGGCCUUGAAAGUGGAGUCAUUCUAAAC